UUGUAUGGAGAAAAUAUACCAGAAGAUAAUUUAGGUAGGCCUUCUUUAGUCAAGCCAUUCCAAGAGGCCUACCCAAGAGGGGCUGAAAAAAGUGUGCUCCUUGCCUUGUAAUUUUUA